rnacentral:rRNA from 1 species
UACGUAGGGGGCAAGCGUUGUCCGGAUUUAUUGGGCGUAGAGAGCGUGUAGGCGGCUUUACAGGUCCGUUGUGAAAACUCGAGGCUCAACCUCGAGACGCCGGUGGAAACCGUAAAGCUAGAGUCCGGAAGAGGAGAGUGGAAUUCCUGGUGUAGCGGUGAAAUGCGCAGAUAUCAGGAAGAACACCCGUGGCGAAGGCGGCUCUCUGGGACGGUACUGACGCUGAGACGCGAAAGCGUGGGGAGCGAACAGG